AGUGAACGCUGGCGGUAGGCCUAACACAUGCAAGUCGAACGGCAGCACAGUAAGAGCUUGCUCUUACGGGUGGCGAGUGGCGGACGGGUGAGGAAUACAUCGGAAUCUACUUUUUCGUGGGGGAUAACGUAGGGAAACUUACGCUAAUACCGCAUACGACCUACGGGUGAAAGCAGGGGAUCUUCGGACCUUGCGCGAUUGAAUGAGCCGAUGUCGGAUUAGCUAGUUGGCGGGGUAAAGGCCCACCAAGGCGACGAUCCGUAGCUGGUCUGAGAGGAUGAUCAGCCAAACUGGAAAUGAGACACGGCCCAGAGCCCUAGGGGAGGCAGCAGGGGGGAAGAUUGGAAAAGGGGGGGAAGCCUGACCCAGCCAUACCGGGGGGGGGAAGAAGGCCUUCGGGUUGUAAAGCCCUUUUGUUGGGAAAAAAAAGCAGCAGGUUAAAACCCCGCUGUUCUGACGGUACCCAAAAAAAAAGCACCGGUUAACUUGGU
rnacentral:rRNA from 1 species